AUUGAACGCUGGCGGCAUGCCUUACACAUGCAAGUCGAACGGCAGCACGGGAGCAAUCCUGGUGGCGAGUGGCGAACGGGUGAGUAAUGUAUCGGAACGUGCCCAGUCGUAGGGGAUAACGUAGCGAAAGCUACGCUAAUACCGCACACGAUCUAUGGAUGAAAGCGGGGGAUCGCAAGACCCCGCGCGAUUGGACCGGCCGAUAUCAGAUUAGGUAGUUGGUGGGGUAAAGGCUCACCAAGCCGACGAUCUGUAGCUGGUCUGAGAGGACGACCAGCCACACUGGGACUGAGACACGGCCCAGACUCCUACGGGAGGCAGCAGUGGGGAAUUUUGGACAAUGGGCGCAAGCCUGAUCCAGCAAUGCCGCGUGCAGGAUGAAGGCCUUCGGGUUGUAAACUGCUUUUGUACGGAACGAAACGGCGAGCUCUAAUACAGUUUGCUAAUGACGGUACCGUAAGAAUAAGCACCGGCUAACUACGUGCCAGCCGCCGCCGUAA
rnacentral:rRNA from 1 species